rnacentral:lncRNA from 10 species
GUUCUUUUAAGGUGAGCAUCUCCAGGCUUGGCCCUAGAGCCUCAUACUUGUUACAGUAAAGAGGAGAUGGCCACAGCACAAUGCCCAGAGUGGGCAGAGGCCGGGCACCACCAACUGCUGCCGUGGCUCCUGCAGGAGGGCAGGUGCAGACCCUCUUGGUGGAGGCAUGUGCCAUAACCCUUAGCCCAGGCAGGGAACCUACCAUGGACCCAGCAUGCCCAGGAGAGUCCAAGAGCAAGGGGAGAGAAGCCACAUGCGGCUCCAGAUUCAUUCCUGGGCUUGAGAGGAGCCAGGCACCACCGUAAGAGCCAGGGUCCCUGCCUGUACCUGCCCAGCCUUGUGGCUCUUCUCUGGAAGAGCAGCCAGGCACAUGGCAAUUAAGGAGGGGAACAGGUAGAAGCGCCCGCAGCUUAUUGCAUAAGUACUUAAAAUGCAGUGUUCACCAGGUUCACCUCCCAGAGGAGACAACCUUUUGUGUGAGGAUGUUCGUGGAGGGAAGUCACUGAAUGGUUUCAGAAUCCUGUUUUUUAAUUGAAUUGAGGCAUCUCUGGUUACUUAAAUAUAAUGUAUUUGCCAAUUAAUUUUUCCAUUGACGUCUUAAAACUCAGGUUCAGAUCUCAGGCCAGCUACCUCAGAAGAUGCAGCUCAGUUGAGAGCCCCAGAGGGGAUUUAGGAGCAUCCUGGUUAGGGCUCAGUUGAGGGAGGAAGGAACCAAAGGAUUUUCCAGGUAGCUCGAUCCCAGCAGAGCAGGAGCUACACUGACAAUCUGCCAGGUGCAGUCCUCGCCUGUGAGGCAGGAAGCUGCAGCCCAGAGGGGUUGAGGGGCUCACCUGAGUGAGUGUGAGCAGGUGAGCAAGUGAGGGGCAGAGGCAGGAUUCCCCCCAGGGCAGCCUGACCGCAGAGCAGCACAGAGGGCAUGGCAGGUGAAUAUGCGCAAUAAAGACAUCCUGAGAAGGUGAGGACCAUGUGUCUGAUCAGAAGAGAAAUGACGGGCUGAGAAAUGGCAGCCACACCUUGAAUGAGCUGCCACCACCGAGGACCCUCCCUGACCCCUGUAGAACUCUGACCUGGGGACAGGGUCUUCACAGAUGGCCCCUGGACUGGUGCUCUGUGCAGUGUCUGCCUUUCUGGGAUAGAGGGCACAGGCCAGAUGAGGCAGAUGAGGGUUCAGGGCCUGAUGCCAUACAGCACCAGGCCUUCGGCUCCCCAGAGAGCAGAGGGCUCCCCCUCAGGCCACAGGCUUUCUGCUGCCUGACUGCAUGGAGUGGUGGGGCCUUGCCCCUGAUGUUGCUGCCUUAGAGGAGAUGUUUAACCUUGCAUCUUUGUUUACUCAUUAGUCACAGUGAAUGGGGCUGAGGGCUGGAAGAGGAUGCGAGUGGUGUACUCACAUCACAGCCCAGAAGAUGGCGGGGGCCCACCUGGCCCUGAGAUUCCAUGUCCGUACUCUAGAAGAUGCCCCAUAUCAGUUUAGUUCCCUUCUCACCCCUCCCUUCCAGCCAUCCUAAAGAUGUCAUGGCCAGAUGUGCCCUGGGGUGAGCAUUCCUGGCCCUAUAUCUAGACAGACCAUGAAGGAACCAAGUGCCUGGUGAGGAAUUGAGCCCCAGAGGAGCAGGAGGGCGGGACACAGGGAAGAGGCAGAAAGGAAGACACUCCCAGAGGCCUCGUUCUGCCACCUGUGUUCAAGCGUUAAGAUCAGACGCACACAUGUGAGCACACAUGUACACAGCUGCUAUCGGGCCUUGCUUGGUCCUCAUCAAAUUGUGAACUCCACGAGGGCAAGGACCAAAUCUCCCUGUUCACUGAAUUCCCCCCCUGCAGCUCACCCAGGGCCACCAAGGAGGCACUUAGCCCAUGUUGAAUGGGUGAAUGAGCACCACCUUUCUCUUUGGUGCCGUGAGGAGCAAAGCCUUCCCUCAGGUCGCCCCUUCAUGCGUUCCUCAGGUGGUACCCUUCCUAGCUGCCCCUCCCCAGGCAGUCUCACAGCGCUGGCCCCACGGUAGUGGCUGCCUCUGGGUUGAUGUGUGUGGAGCAGACAGCCCCAGCCAGCCAGUGAGGUUCUUCGAGAUUGCACUAAGCUCUAGCAUGCUUGUUCCCUCCUCCCAGCCAUCUGGUCAGCCCUACUGCAGAGACAGUAGGGCCAGAAUCUCAGGGCUAGGUGGGCCCCCACCAUCCUGGUCAUCUUCAGGCUUGAGCCAGAGCCCUUUUCUUAGCCUUGGCUGAGGGAGAGUCAAGCCCCUGUUUCUUCAUCUGCUGACCCCACGUAGACGCUUCUCUGCCAAGGAGGCAGUGCUGUGUUCUUCACGUGGGAGACCUGAUUCCUCAAUGCCAGACUGCUGCAGAAAUGCUGCCUUGGAAGCCAGGUGAGGGGUGACAGAGCAGAGUGGGUUGAGGUGAGAGCCUGCCUCGCAGAAGGCAGGGCGGGCAGACUCCACAGGGAGGUCUGUCGGGUCCUAGCUGCCUGAAGGAGCUUGUUUGGCCCAAGCAGAGUGGGUGCGUGCAUUUCACUCUCCACCUCAGAGUGUGAGAGCCUGAGAAAGCUCUGUGUGUGUGCGUGUGUGUGUGUGUGUGUGUGUGUUGGGGGAGGGGGACUUGCCCAGGCUGCUGUCUGCACCAUGAAUUAACUUCACUCUUUAAGCUGAGUGUGGAUGGGAAGCCAGGGAGCAGCUGCACACAGGCUCAUCCUCGCUCGCAGGCACUGCUGCAGCACAGACUGCCCAAAGGAGUGUGAGCAGUGCGCUGGCUUCCUCCUGCCUCAGGAAUAGAGCCCUUCAUCCUCCCUGAAGGGAAGAUUCAUGAGCAGCGAGGGAAGAUUCACGAGCCCAGCCCAGCUGGCAUUUGUCAUCAUUCCAGAGACAUGAGCCACGCCCCUGACCCCUCUGCCCCUUGGCUGCUCUUCGCAGACCCUCUGUGGCCUCACCUCUCUCUGCAUGCAUGCUGGGCCCUCUCCUUUUCCCGCCACCACACAGACUGUGUGCUUUGGAGAAAAUGAAAAUGUUCCCGAAGUAGGUUAAUAAACAUCAUCUGAAGAAUAAA